rnacentral:rRNA from 1 species
AUUGUGAGCUUGAUGAGUAGGGCGGGACACGUGGUAUCCUGUCUGAAUAUGGGGGGACCAUCCUCCAAGGCUAAAUACUCCUGACUGACCGAUAGUGAACCAGUACCGUGAGGGAAAGGCGAAAAGAACCCCGGCGAGGGGAGUGAAAAAGAACCUGAAACCGUGUACGUACAAGCAGUGGGAGCACGCUUAGGCGUGUGACUGCGUACCUUUUGUAUAAUGGGUCAGCGACUUAUAUUCUGUAGCAAGGUUAACCGAAUAGGGGAGCCGAAGGGAAACCGAGUCUUAACUGGGCGUUAAGUUGCAGGGUAUAGACCCGAAACCCGGUGAUCUAGCCAUGGGCAGGUUGAAGGUUGGGUAACACUAACUGGAGGACCGAACCGACUAAUGUUGAAAAAUUAGCGGAUGACUUGUGGCUGGGGGUGAAAGGCCAAUCAAACCGGGAGAUAGCUGGUUCUCCCCGAAAGCUAUUUAGGUAGCGCCUCGUGAAUUCAUCUCCGGGGGUAGAGCACUGUUUCGGCAAGGGGGUCAUCCCGACUUACCAACCCGAUGCAAACUGCGAAUACCGGAGAAUG